GGAUGUGAUCAUACCAGCACUAAAGCACCGGAUCCCAUUAGAACUCCGAAGUUAAGCGUGCUUGGGCGAGAGUAGUACUAGGAUGGAUGACCUCCUAGGAAGUCGUCGCGUUGCAUUCC
rnacentral:rRNA from 1 species